CAUCCUCUUUGAAGGUAUAUAACCACUCUGUGCACCCCGCUUCUUGGGUGCCCUUCCUUCCUUCGGGUCCCCAGGUCAUGGUCAUCACAUUUUGCCUCAGAAUAAACUCACCCAAAUUUUCAUUUAUAGAUUGGUUAUGGAUUAUUUUCGUCAACACAGGAGAAAAUCAAACAAAGUUUAAUAACAUGUAUACAUGGGAGAAACUCAGGAAAAACUGAGCAACUGAGCCAUCUGGCUGAGGCUGCCUGUUUAAAAUAUCUUCAGCUACAGACAAGGAGGAUGUUGCGGGUAGUGAUUUGGGAUUUCAGAGGGGGAGACAAUUUACAUGGAGAUGGAAAUGCAAAUGUUCGUUAAACAGGUUUUGCUGGGCCAAAAAUGGGCUUGUUGGUGACUUCCUAUCACGCCUCUUUCACAUUAUACUAUAGCUGUCUUAUGGUAUGAGUUCCUUCUUGGAAUAGGCCUUCUAUGUUAAAUUCUUUAGGCAGUUUGGGAGAAGGUCCAAUGCUCUUCCUGAGUCUUCCAGCCUUUAUUGUCUUUAGCUAGGAAGAAGCCGCACACCAGAGGGGCGCAUCUCGGGGCAGCCUGCCCUGAACCCCAUCACAACCAUAUCCUAUCUCAACCUCAUUUUAGACAGGACACCACUUCUCAUAACAUGCCGGCCCCCACGCCCCCAGUCCUCAGGGCCUUUUGGAAAGGCACACGUGCCACGAGCAAAUAUACUCCUGCAUUUUCAUCUUGUUCGUCAGGUCCUGCGCUGGACUCGUCAUUCCGCAAAUCCCAAGGGUGCUGCGGGAAGCGGAGCAAUUAGCCCCUCACCUGCCCUCGUGGCCCCGCCCCCGAGGCCCCGCCCCUCCGAGGCCCCGCCCACCGCGCGGCGCGUGCGCGGCUGAGCGCGGACCCCAGCCGCUGAGGCUCGGCUUCCUCCCGGGCCUCCAGAGCGCAGCACCGACUUCCGCCCGGGUCGGCCGCGUGUGCCGGUGCUUCCGGCCGGCCGCGGGUCCCCGCCGAGGCCAUGGGGAAAGUGCGGGGGCUGCGGGCCCGGGUUCACCAGGCUGCCGUGAGGCCCGCGGGGGAGGCCGCGGUCGGCCCCGCGCCCCCGGCCCGAGAGGCCGCCCCUCCGCAGGCCUCGGCCGCUGGAGUUGGGGGAAAGGAGUGGGCUUUCGUGAACACUAACGUCUUUGCCAGGACCAAGAUCGACCCCAGUGCCUUGGUGCAGAAGCUGGACCUGGACACAAGGAGUGUUACUUCCGUCCGGAGAGGUGAGAGUGGGUGAGGCGGACCGUAGGGUUUGGGUGUUCACAACGCAGAGGCAUGCCAGCUUUGAGGUUGUUUGUAUGUGUGGGCCACCGCAGAUUCCAAGUUGGCCUGUACAUUUUCAAAAGAUUUUCAUUAUUGGAAAAUUUUAAAGAUAUACUAAAGUAGAGAGAAUGGUAUAAAGAAAUCCAUUUAUCCAUCCUAUCACUUGCCUUCAACACACGUACUGGAGAGUUUUGAAGCAAACAGUGUUUCAUUCAUGAAUUCUUUAGCAAAUGCUUCCAAGGGCUCUUAAAAAAGACAUAAGCAUACCUGCAAUGCAGUUAUCCCACCUUAACAAAUUAGUAGGAAUUCCUUAUUAUGAGAGAAACACUCAGAGCUCACGUGUUUGUGAUGGCCUUCUAAAAGUUUCUCUGUAAAAGUCAGGGUGCAGAUAAGGGCUCCACGCUGCAGCCCAGCCCCUCCCCGUCUCUCCCCGUCUGUGUGAAAAGACAUGAGGAGAAGGCAACCAGCAGAAUCCAAGAGAAGGGAAAUGCACUGGGGAAAAGGGCCUCCCCCUUAUAAACACGCAAAGACUUCAAGCCCUCCCAUGACCAACGCUUCAGUCUCCUGCACUCAGUCCCGCCUUCGCUGUGUUGGUGCAGGAGGCCUCUGGCAAGCUGGUCUGAGCGGAAGCCAGUAUCGAGUGCAGGAGACUGAGGCGUUGGUCGGGGGACGACU
rnacentral:lncRNA from 1 species